rnacentral:lncRNA from 1 species
GCUGGAAGACUGCGAAAAGGGUAGAGGAAGAAUGCUCCCUUCCCAAUGAGAGCAAAAACUGAGACAUUGUUGUUUCAUCCCCGCCAGGCUGCACGAACUACCCGGAACUACCAUCCAGGGGCCGGGCUGCCAGACGGGUCCAAGUGGACAUUCCUGUCAAGCUUUCUAACCUCAGAAGCGGCAGAAACAACAGACUUUGGAUCAAGACAGUGGAACCCUGGGGGAGAAGACACAGCCCCUGUCUUCCAGAAGCUUCUAAUCUGAGACAAGUGCCUAU